rnacentral:rRNA from 1 species
UCAGAGUUUGUCUGGCUCAGGACGAACGCUGGCGGCGCGCCUAACACAUGCAAGUCGAACGAGAGAGAAGGAGCUUGCUUCUUCGAUCGAGUGGCGAACGGGUGAGUAACGCGUGAGGAACCUGCCUCAAAGAGGGGGACAACAGUUGGAAACGACUGCUAAUACCGCAUAAGCCCACGGGUCGGCAUCGACCUGAGGGAAAAGGAGCGAUCCGCUUUGAGAUGGCCUCGCGUCCGAUUAGCUAGUUGGUG